GCAAGGUGUUUCCCUCCAAGGCAGAGCCAGAACAAACCAUUUGGCGCCUAUUGAGUGAAAUGUGGGCCGCCGGAUUUAUUAGCAGGCAAUCCAGGCUGGUUUCAAGGAAAACGCAGGUCUGGGGAGUCGGUUGAUAUUAACACUUCCAGCGAAACCUUGCAUGUUGGAAGUUUAAAAAAGAAAGCCCAUUCACUCCAGCACAUUCCGCCGCCAGACAGCAAGCUCCCCCUCGAUCAAACCUUGAGGAAAGUCUUGAAGGAGGGGGGGGGGGCAGACAGAGAACAAUGCAGGACUUUGGCUUCCGUGCAGUGAGAUUUGGCAGUCCCAAGCCAACUUGAACGGAAAGUUUUUCCCGAGGCGCAGGGACAUGAGAAGCACAUGCAAGCAGGGAGCCUUGGAAAAGGGGUAACAAGGAAGGAUGCAAAGCUUCUCAUAUGGUCAGAUUUGGCCUGGGACCUCCAGUUGAUGAUCCCUCCCUUAAAUAUUGUAUACAAGGAAUAAAGGAUUUAUGAGGAAACAUUUCUUCUGAGACACAGUGAAGGAUGACGGUGAAGUGAGGAGUCAAGUGCCCCAAGUAGAAGGGAAUUUUAAGGUGUGGCAGUGGAUGUGCUGGGCUGCUGUCUUACCUUGGUGAUGUACUGGAUGAGAGGGAACAAACUGAAGUUCAAUCCAGAUAAGAUUGAGGUACUGUUAGUGGGUGGUUCCCUACACUGGAUGGGUGGCAGGUUGCCUGCUCUUGAGGGGUUCCACUCGCUCUGAAGGAGUGGGUACAUAGCUCGAGCGUACUUCUGAA